GAAAAUGAGAGACAUUUGAAAGUAAUCGUCACAAUUAUUGUGAUUAUUGGAGUGAUUUUGCUAGCACUGCAUACUUCUUAUAGAGGUGGAUGGCUAAAAAAAGGAGAGCAAUGAAAAAAAAGGCGAUGAGAGUUUACUGUUUGACUACCUAAAAGAUGUGAAACUACACGAGCUACCAAUCUUUAAUUUGGAAGAAUUGACAACUGCAACAAACGACUUUCAUAUGGCUAAUAUACUUGGACAAGGUGGCUUUGGUCCAGUCUAUAAGGGUAAAUUGCAUAAUGGACAGGAAAUAGCAGUGGAAAGACUGUCUAGAGGCUUUGGACAAGGGCUUGAAGAAUUUAUGAAUAAGGUGGUGGUGAUUUCUAAACUCCAACAUUGGAAUCUUGUUAGACUUCUUGGGUGCUGUAUUGAGGGAGAAGAGAAGAUGUUGAUUUAUGAAUACAUGCCAAACAAAAGUUUGGAAACAAUUGUUUUUGGUUAGUUCAUACACUUAUAAAUCUUGCAUCAAGUUAGUUAGUGCCUUAAAUAAAAAACACACACAAAUUUAUUGUGUUCUUUUCUUAAGAUUUACAUUCAUAUUGACAACAGUGUAUCAAACAAAUAUAA